rnacentral:rRNA from 1 species
AACGUAGGAGACAACCGUUAUCCGGAGUUACUGGGCGUAAAGGGCGUGCAGGCGGUCGACUAAGUCUGGCGUGAAAGCUCUCGGCUAAACCGGGAGAGGUCGUUGGAUACUGGUUGACUAGAGGACGGUAGAGGCGUGUGGAAUUCCGGGUGUAGUGGUGAAAUGCGUAGAGAUCCGGAGGAACACCAGUGGCGAAGGCGACACGCUGGGCCGUACCUGACGCUGAUACGCGAAAGCGUGGGUAGCAAACAGG